rnacentral:rRNA from 1 species
AUUGAACGCUAGCGGGAUGCCUUACACAUGCAAGUCGAACGGAGUGGCGAACGGGUGAGUAAUGUAUCGGAACGUGCCCAGUAGCGGGGGGUAACUACGCGAAAGCGUAGGUAAUACCGCAUACUAUUGGAGCGGCCGAUCUCGGAUGAGCUAGCUGGUGGGGGAACGGCUCACAAAGGCGACGGUCCGUAGCUGGUUUGAGAGGACGACCAGCCACACUGGGACUGAGACACGGCCCAGACUCCUACGGGAGGCAGCAGUGGGGAAGUUUGGACAAUGGGCGAAACCCUGAUCCAGCCAUGCCGCGGGUGCGAAGAAGGCCUUCGGGUUGUAAAGCACUUUUGGCAGGAAAGCGGUACCUGCAGAAGAAGCACCGGCUAACUACGUGCCAGCAGCCGCGGUAAUAC